rnacentral:rRNA from 1 species
AGUGAACGCUGGCGGUAGGCCUAACACAUGCAAGUCGAACGGCAGCACAGGAGAGCUUGCUCUCUGGGUGGCGAGUGGCGGACGGGUGAGGAAUACAUCGGAAUCUGCCCAGUCGUGGGGGAUAACGAAGGGAAACUUACGCUAAUACCGCAUACGACCUUCGGGGGAAAGAGGGGGAUCGCAAGACCUCUCGCGAUUGGAUGAGCCGAUGUCGGAUUAGCUAGUUGGCGGGGUAAUGGCCCACCAAGGCGACGAUCCGUAGCUGGUCUGAGAGGAUGAUCAGCCACACUGGAACUGAGACACGGUCCAGACUCCUACGGGAGGCAGCAGUGGGGAAUAUUGGACAAUGGGCGCAAGCCUGAUCCAGCCAUACCGCGUGGGUGAAGAAGGCCUUCGGGUUGUAAAGCCCUUUUGUUGGGAAAGAAAUCUUUCAGGCUAAUACCCUGGGAGGAUGACGGUACCCAAAGAAUAAGCACCGGCUAACUUCGUG